UGCAAGUCGAACGCAGUAGCAAUACUGAGUGGCAAACGGGUGAGUAUAAUGUGGGAAUCUGCCUUUUGGUUUGGAAUAACACGGGGAAACUUGUGCUAAUACCGAAUAAGCCUUUACAGGGAAAGUUUUAACGCCGAAAGAUGAGCCCGCACUUGAUUAGCUAGUUGGUAAGGUAAAAGCUUACCAAGGCAAUGAUCAAUAGCUGUUCUUAGAGGAAGACCAGCCACAUUGGGACUGAGACACGGCCCAGACUCCUACGGGAGGCAGCAGUGGGGAAUCUUGCACAAUGGGGGAAACCCUGAUGCAGCGAUGCCGCGUGAGUGAAGAAGGCCUUUGGGUUGUAAAACUCUUUCGUCGGGGAAGAAAAUGACUGUACCCGAAUAAGAAGGUCCGGCUAACUUCGUGCCAGCAGCCGCGGUAAUACGAAGGGACCUAGCGUAGUUCGGAAUUACUGGGCUUAAAGAGCUCGUAGGUGGUUAAAAAAGUUGAUGGUGAAAUCCCAAGGCUUAACCUUGGAACUGCCAUCAAAACUUUUUAGCUAGAGUGUGAUAGAGGUAAGUGGAAUUUCUAGUGUAGAGGUGAAAUUCGUAGAUAUUAGAAAGAACACCAAAUGUGAAGGCAACUUACUGGGUCACUACUGACACUGAGGAGCGAAAGCAUGGGUAGCGAAGAGGAUUAGAUACCCUCGUAGUCCAUGCCGUAAACGAUGUGUGCUAGACGUUGGAAAUAUAUUUUUUCAGUGUCGCAGCGAAAGCAUUAAGCACACCGCCUGGGGAGUACGACCGCAAGGUUAAAACUCAAAUGAAUUGACGGGGACCCGCACAAGCAGUGGAGCAUGUGGUUUAAUUCGAAGAUACGCGCAGAACCUUACCAACACUUGACAUGUUCGUCGCGAGCCUAAGAGAUU
rnacentral:rRNA from 1 species